UACGGAGGGGGCUAGCGUUGUUCGGAAUUACUGGGCGUAAAGCGCACGUAGGCGGAUUUGUAAGUCAGGGGUGAAAUCCCGGGGCUCAACCUCGGAACUGCCUUUGAUACUGCAAAUCUCGAGUCCGAUAGAGGUGGGUGGAAUUCCUAGUGUAGAGGUGAAAUUCGUAGAUAUUAGGAAGAACACCGGUGGCGAAGGCGGCCCACUGGAUCGGUACUGACGCUGAGGUGCGAAAGCGUGGGGAGCAAACAGG
rnacentral:rRNA from 1 species